GACGAACGCUGGCGGCGUGCUUAACACAUGCAAGUCGAACGGAAAGGCCCUGCUUUUGUGGGGUGCUCGAGUGGCGAACGGGUGAGUAACACGUGAGUAACCUGCCCUUAACUUUGGGAUAACUUCAGGAAACUGGGGCUAAUACCGGAUAGGAGCUCCUGCUGCAUGGUGGGGGUUGGAAAGUUUCGGCGGUUGGGGAUGGACUCGCGGCUUAUCAGCUUGUUGGUGGGGUAGUGGCUUACCAAGGCUUUGACGGGUAGCCGGCCUGAGAGGGUGACCGGCCACAUUGGGACUGGGAUACGGCCCAGACUCCUACGGGAGGCAGCAGUGGGGAAUAUUGCACAAUGGGCGGAAGCCUGAUGCAGCAACGCCGCGUGCGGGAUGACGGCCUUCGGGUUGUAAACCGCUUUCGCCUGUGACGAAGCGUGAGUGACGGUAAUGGGUAAAGAAGCACCGGCUAACUACGUG
rnacentral:rRNA from 1 species